rnacentral:lncRNA from 1 species
GUGAGAGUCCCCACAAGUACCAUAUUUGAGGGUUGGGGUAGUGCCACCUGGAGAGUAAAGGGAAAGAACUUUUUCCUUUAUUUCUUUUACUCUCCAGGUCCUGUGUGCGCUUGGUGAGAAGGCAGCAAGUGAGUCAGUUGUGACUCUCUGCUCCGUGCCCCAGGGCCCUGGGUGUGGUGAAGGAAGCUGUCUGAGCAGUGGGCAGGAGGGGCUGAGCUCAGGGUGAGGGCUGGCGGCAGGGGCGGGUGAAUGGAAAAUACCCAUCUGAACUGCCACACAUCCUGACUGGAUACAGGCUUUAACACGGUCCGUCUCAAAGAAACCUGUGCCCAUGGAACAAACUCUGGCGUGCAAGAAAAACGGAAGUGAGAUUCCAACAGGAGGGCACCACUGUCCCUGUCUGACCUUAAACCAGGAGAUUUUGUACAGAUGUAUUCCUUCAAGAAAACCAGCUUGUUGGCAGUAAUAGAGAAGAAAUGAGCUUCUCCCAACAACAGCCAACAACAGCCAAUGACAACAGCAAAAUAGGAAAAAGGGUUGCCCUCUGAAAGGUAAAUAAACUCUAUACACAAUAAAUGACCAUCUGUGGAAGUAAAACCGAGAGACAGGCUUUACCACCUCCCAGAACUCCAAUCCAGAUGACCACGGAUAAAUCUCUAGCACGCGGAAUAGAGAUGUCACGGCUGUUAGGUAAGCAGAGAGUAAUGCAGGGUAUAUAUUCCUGGAAGAGAACAGGGUUAGUCAAACUGGAUCUCAGAAAAGGGAGCUGCUGUACAAGACAUUCUAGGAAGCAAGCCUCUGAAUUCUGAAACCCAGACCUGCUGGUCACGGUGGGGCAGGGAUGAUCUUCCAAGCUUCCCUGCGGUCUGCAUGAAAUUCUCUCACCCACACCAGCUUCCUGUGCUCCAAUUCCAUGCCUCUGACUGGUUUCCACUUAAGAAUUAAUGGGUAAAAAGGAAAAAGAAUUAGUAGUAUGAUCUUGUUGCUUCCCCAGAGUCAUCAAUAAAAAGGCAGAACAGAGAGAAAACAAAACAAAACAAAGUUAUACCAGGAGACAGAACUGGGAGAUCUCAGAUCGUCUUCUCUGUGAAUCGGGUGUUGCUACUGAAGCCGUGAUAAUCCUGGUCACCUGAGGCAGAAAAUAAACAUUUCUUCCUACAAAGAAUGUGGGCAUUUUCCAGUGGGAUUUGUGAGCCAGCAAAGACUUAGCAGCAGUUUCUUCACUGCCAAAAAUCUCUAACUUUCCAUGAUGAAAAACUAUUGUUGUCAUUGACCGGCUUUACGAAAUAUUGGCUUACGUUUUAAUCAUCUGUUGAGCAUCAGGCACUAUCCUGGGCACCUGUGAAUCCAUUUGGUCCUCGCAGCUAUUCUAUGACAUGGGCACAUUAUCCUCCUUCACAGAUGAAGAAACAAGUUAAAGAGAUGUUCCCAAAAGAGUUAAGUUAGGAGCAAAGUUAAUACUUGAACCCAAAUCUGUUUCCAGGGUUUUUAUGCCUUUCACUACACCUGCUUUGCAGGAAAGUGAUGAGAAUUUCUAGUAGACGCUGAGUAGGGGCGGUGCUGCACGGCACUCACUGUUUCUGAGAUACUGGUGAUGGGACAGAUAACCGAGAAGGAGACACUGGUGAAUUCUGAAAGGAAGGUGUGCCUCAGCAAAGGCCGCAGGGGAAGACAGGAGGUUCGCUCGCUCACCUUUAUUUGGAAAGCCUUCCUCCCACAUUCCCUAGCAAUGCUAGUCAGUCCCAGGGGUUUGGAUGGGGCUGGCUGCCCGUGGCCCCUGAUCCAGGGGUUGGGGGCAUUGUUGGGAGCAGAGUCCUCCAUGGGACUUCUGCUAGAGCAAUCAGUGCAGACGUGCUCUUGUUUGGGGAUUGCGAUCUGAAGGCCCCCAGAAGCUUGCGACUGCAGGCAGCCAUCUGUCCAGAGACCACCUAAUCAAGAAACCCCUGACACCCUCAUAGGAGACGCCUGCCAUCCAGCUGUACCUAGAGGAGAUCUACCACCCCCUCUGUAACUUUCAGUUUUGUGAAUCAGCACAUUCAUUCUCUCUCUCUCUCGAUCUCUCUCUCUCUCUCCAAAGUGGCAUUUGUCUAGAUGGCUCAGAGUGUGGUCCUCAAUCUUGCAGAUUCGGAUUCAGUUCUGGGACAGCCUCACUAAAUUGCCCUUUUCCAGCCUGUUUCCUCCCUGUAGACAUUGGCAGGGUGCCUGGCAAGCCCAGCCCAGGCUCUUGUCUGUGACAGAUCUGUCACCUUUUAACUCUUUCCCAGGCUUCCUUGUUUACAUUAACAUGUUUCCAGCCAGAGCGGAGAGCCGUAAACAUCUUGAGGGCUGGGGCGGUGUCUGACUCAUGGCUGGAUUCCCCCAAGCCAAUGCAGAGCGGGAACCUAGCGACACUCAAACACGUUUAAGAGUAAAUUUCUGUUUGAGUCACCAAAGUAAAGAAAUCCAGUCCCCAGUACCAAUUGAAAUAAACCACAAAACACUUUGCCGAAUGGAAACUUGUUCUGCAAUGGUAAAGCAUGACUUUAACUUUAGCCAAAUUACUUCCCAGGAGUUAAACUAACUCAUGAUCUCACUGUCCACUGAAAAAAACUGUUCUUAGUCUGUUUGAGCCAUUGUAAUAUAGACUGGGUAACUUGUACACAGCAGACAUCUAUUUCUCCCAGGUCUGGAGGCUGGGCAUCUGAGAUCGGGACCAGCAUGGUUAGGUUCUGGUGCAGCCCAGAGCAGCAGGAGCUGUGCCCUGGCCCCUGUCCUGAGGAGCUCCCACUGGUCAGCCCCGCCUACUCCAGCUGGACCUUGAUGCUUCACACAAGGUGUGCGCAGAGGACACAGGCACUUCAUGGAGCAACAUACUUUUGUAAAAAAAAUGAAUUCCCUUGUAACAAAUAGAGCACGGAGGCUUUUAUAGAUUAAGUAAUUUGUAGUCUUCUUAUAAUUAUGGCUUCUAAAUUACCUAAAAUAAUUCAUUCAAGGCUUGAUUUUAGUUUUGUCUUGAGAGUGUCAACUCUUUAACUUGAGAUGCUGUAGGAUGGGGUUUCAUCUUGGGAUUCUUUUCUUGGAUAUGUCAUUUAAAUUCUGAUACUUAUAUUCCCUAUUUGAAAACACAUGAUCAAUGACAAUACCAAUACCUGAUUUGUGUGCAAUACUUAUAAUUUACAACGUACAUUAUUUUAACAUACAUUCUUUUCAUGCGACCCUCUCAACAACCCUUUGACAAGGCAAGUCAGAGACUAAUUACUAGAGAUUAUUCAAGCGACUUGCUCCAAGUCAUACAGUAGGCAGGCAGCCAAGAUGACUCUAGUUUUUCCAACUCCUAGUCCCACACUCUUUCCUCUCCCCUUACAUGUUCUGAUAUAAAUCAAACUUAGGUUUGAAAAUAUCUUAUUGAUGUAUUUCAACACCCCAGAAUUUGAUGAGACUGGAAUCGAUUUGUUGUGAUCUGUGAUUGCUGAAUUCCUCGUAUGUGGUGGAUACCAAGGUAAGUUGACUAGAAUGUGAGCUUGCCUACCCAGACACCAGUUCCCAUGUCCUUUGUCCGGUGGUAUAAUUUGAAGUUCACUCUUUUUGGUGUACAGUUUUAUGAGUUGAGUUGUGAAAAACAUAUACAGUUGUGUAUCCACCACUACAGUCAAGAUAUAGAACAGUUCCAUUACCUCAAAAAUUUUUUUCAGGCCGGGCGCAGUGGCUCACGCCUGUAAUCCCAGCACUUUAGGAGGCCAAAGCGGGCGGAUCACGAGGUCAGGAGAUCGAGACCAUCCUGGCUAACGCUGUGAAACCAUGUCUCUACUAAAAAUACAAAAAAAUUAGCCAGGCGUGGUGGCAGGUGCCUGUGGUCCCAGCUACUUGGGAGGCUGAGGCAAGAGAACCGCUUGACCCUGGGAGGCAGAGGUUGCGGUGAGCCAAGAUCGCGCCACUGCACUCCAACCUGGGCGACAGAGCGAGAGUCCAUCUCAAAAAGAAAACAUCAUACUCUUUUGUAGUCAACCCUAGCUAGGCCCCUAUAGUUUUGCCUUUCCCAAAGUAUCUUAUGCAUGGAAUCAUCCAGGAGAUAACCUCCUGAAUCAGGCUUCUGUCUCUUAGCAUAAUGCAUUUGGGAUUUACCAUGUUAUUUCAUUUAUCAGGUUUUUGUCCCUUUUCAUUGCUGAGUAGUAUUUCAUUAUAGGAAUGUACUCUCGUUUGUGGAUCAUUCUGAUCAACUCAGCACAUGUGGAUUAUUUCCAGUCUUGGCAAUGAUGAAUAAAGUCACUCUAAGCAUUCACGUACAGGUUUUUGCAUGAAUAAAAU